GAAAUCAUAAGGUAGGUCGUCUUAUCAGACUGGCUUCUUUCACUUAGUAAGAGAAGAGUCAUUUGUGUCUUGUUAUGGCUUGAUACUUCAUUUAUUUUUAUUGUUGAAUGAUAUCCGUCGUAUAGAUGUAUUACAAUUUCUUUACUCGUUCACCUAUUUUAGAAUGUCUCGAUUGCUUCCAGUUUGUGGAGCUAAUGAAUGAAGCUGCUGAUAAUAAGUUUAUGUGUGAACAGAAGUCUUCAUCAGUUGGGUAAAUACCUGGGAACUCAAUUUACCACAUCAUAUGAUAAGACUCUAUUUAGCCUUGUAAGAAAUUUGUGAAACUGUCCUGCAAAGGGACUGGGCAUUCUGCAGUCCUCGCUCCAACACAUGGGACUUCUGCUGUCCCAGUCUCCCAGCUUCCGGUGACGUCAGCGUGGGAAUUAUAGCCACUCUGACAGGAGGGACGGCCUGCUGUGUGUGUUUGAACUGCUGUCACUGUGUUCUAGGCUCUGUCCUCAAUAUUAUAUCAUCAGAUACCCAGGGCUGGUGCUGUAUCCACUUCCUGACCUCUAGAGAGAAAUAUAGAGCCGCUGGAAACAUCAGAUGUACAAAUAAUUUACAUAAACAGUCACCUGAGUCUUAAACAAUAACAGCACGUCGAUGAUGAAUGGACUCAAAUACACUUGGGGGGAAUAUGUAUGAAGAACAUGAAGUGAAGCUCCCAAGCUUAUGGGGAGACCUAGUGAUUAGCCACAGUUAUUUCCAUAAAGGGAUUUUUUCUUUUUAAAGAAAGACAUGUUUUCAUUCUGGCAAAAAUAAAAUUAUACACCAGGAAGAGUAUACACAAAAUGUUCUCUCAAGUCUUUUUCUCGGGGAGCUUGCUUCAGCAUUGAUGGAAUUGGACGUUAAGGUAUGGAUUCGUCUUGCCCAUUUGGCAGUUGAAUGGAAAACCCUCCAGCAGAACAGGACUAUGACCUACGUGACCCGUCACGGGGGAGAAUGGGCCAGGAGGCGGUGGUGUGAACCCCAGACAGUGGGGCACAUGGAGUCAGAGUGAGGGAUGGGAUGUGUUUGACAAGCGAGUCUAAAACAGUAACUAUGGAAUACAUUUAGCAUUUUCUUCAAAAUAGCCAUUUGUUCAUUUGUGUUUUUUCAUUGGUUCACCCAUGAAUUGAUACUCAUUCUUCCCUUCGAAGCUUACCUGUGAGGCCCAUCUCCCAGGCCCUGUGUGGGGCACCACCACACCAAGACAAAACCCGACUCAGCCUCUGUUCUGGGGUGGGGGCCCCACUUUCCGCGACAUGAGUGAACGACCCCACAGGGAUAGAGACAUUGCUUGGGGUUCGUGGAGGAGCCCCUGACCCCAUGGUUCCUGUUACCAAGUCUUUAAGUCCCUCAACCCCUUCUGUACUGACUAAUCAUCCAGUAUCUUUUUACCUUAGAUGUUAGUUUGCAUCUGUAGAGAUUGCUCUGGGUUGUUGUAGAGUUUCCGUGUCUCCACACGCUCAGUCUUUCUCUGGGUGUCUGCACAUGUUAAAUACAGUUAUGGAAACAAUGUCAACGUCUUUAGUUGCCAAUU